rnacentral:rRNA from 1 species
GAUGAAUGCUGGCGGCGUGCCUAACACAUGCAAGUCGAGCGGCAGCGAGGGGUGCUUGCACCCUGUCGGCGAGCGGCGAACGGCUGAGUAACGCGUAGGAAUUUGCCCCAAAGUGAGGAAUAACUGCCCGAAAGGGUAGCUAAUGCCGCAUAUGGUCUUCGGAUUAAAGGAUUUAUCCGCUUUGGGAGAAGCCUGCGUUGGAUUAGGUUGUUGGUAGGGUAAUGGCCUACCAAGCCGACGAUCCAUAGCUGGUCUGAGAGGAUGAUCAGCCAGACUGGAACUGAGACACGGUCCAGACUCCUACGGGAGGCAGCAGUGAGGAAUCUGCCACAAUGGGCGAAAGCCUGAUGGAGCAGCGCCGCGGGAAGGAUGAAGGCCUUCGGGUUGUAAACUUCUUUUAUGAGUGAAGAAUAUGACGGGAACUCAGGAAUAAGCACCGGCUAACUACGU